AGUUUAUGAACUUGAAUAAGUAUAUGUUUUGAAAACAUAAUAUAGAAAUUAAAUUUUCUAUAAACUU
rnacentral:tRNA from 1 species